GCGCCACCCCUCUAGCAGGAGUGGUUUCUUUAUAUGUACCAGGGAUAUUUCUGCAUUGAACUCUAGACCAUGUGGAACUUGGCUUUUUAGCAGGUCAAAUGCCAGGCACAACUUUCUAGCUGGACCAGAUGCAGCCACACUCAGGAACCGUGCUUCAUUAAAGUGUGUGUGGACCCAGGUUCUCUUCCUUCACAAUUUUGUGAGUACAGAUGAGGUUGUGUGGACAUUAACAUCACAAAUAUGAGAAGGCUGGGCCUCACUUGAAAAAAAAAGAAAAGUUUUAUUGAGAUAUAAUUCACGUCAUAGAUGUCACCCCUCUAAAGUUUAUAAUUCAGUGGUUUUUGGUAUAUUCAUAGAAUUGUGCAACCAUCACCACUUUAACAUUUUAGAACAUUUUCACCACCCUUCUCUCCCACAAAACUCUGUACUCAUUAGGAGUCAUGCCUUUCUCUUUCCUGGCAACCUUGUAUCUACUUUUUGUCUCUACAGAAUUGUCUAUUCUGAGCAUUUCCUAUAAAUGGAACCAUAAAACGUGUGGCUUUUUGUGUCUGGCUUCUUAUACUUAGCAUAAUGAUUUAAAAGUUCACCUGUGUUGUAGCAUGUAUCAGUAAUACAUCAUUCAUUUUUAUUGCUGGAUAAUAAUCCAUUUUAUUCUGGACUCCAGUCCCUUAUCAGAUCUGUGACUUGCAAGUAUCUUCUCCCAUUUUGUGGCUGUCUUUUCACUUUCUUGAUUAUGUGCUUUAAACCACAAAAGAUUUUUAUUUUGAAGAAGUCCGAUUUACAUUUUUUUUCUUUUUUUGCCUGUGAUUUCAGUGUCUAAGAAACCAUUGCCUAAUUCAAGGUAUAAAGAUUUAUUCCCAGGUUUUCUCCUAAGAGUUCCAUAGUUUUAACUCUUGCAUGUAAGACUAUGACCCAUAUUGAGUUAAUUUUUGUAUGUGGUUUGUAAUAGGAGUCCAACUUCAUUCUUUUAUAGGUGAAUAUCCAGUUGUCCCAGCACCACUUAUUGAAAAGACUGUUCAUCUCCCAUAUGAUUGCCUAGGCUUGUCUAAAUCAAUUGUCCAUAAAAGUAAAGAUUUAUUU
rnacentral:lncRNA from 1 species